GAGGAUAUAGCUCAGUUGGUAGAGUGCUUGCCUUGCAUACACAAGGCCUUGGGUUCAAUCCCCAAUACCACA
rnacentral:tRNA from 1 species